UGGGGAAUAUUGCACAAUGGGGGAAACCCUGAUGCAGCGACGCCGCGUGGAGGAAGAAGGUCUUCGGAUUGUAAACUCCUGUUGUUGAGGAAGAUAAUGACGGUACUCAACAAGGAAGUGACGGCUAACUACGUGCCAUCAGCCGCGGUAAAACGUAGGUCACAAGCGUUGUCCGGAAUUACUGGGUGUAAAGGGAGCGCAGGCGGGAGAACAAGUUGGAAGUGAAAUCCAUGGGCUCAACCCAUGAACUGCUUUCAAAACUGUUUUUCUUGAGUAGUGCAGAGGUAGGCGGAAUUCCCGGUGUAGCGGUGGAAUGCGUAGAUAUCGGGAGGAACACCAGUGGCGAAGGCGGCCUACUGGGGCACCAACUGACGCUGAGGCUCGAAAGUGUGGGUA
rnacentral:rRNA from 1 species